UACGAAGGGGGCUAGCGUUGCUCGGAAUCACUGGGCGUAAAGCGCACGUAGGCGGCUUCUUAAGUCAGGGGUGAAAUCCUGGAGCUCAACUCCAGAACUGCCUUUGAUACUGAGGAGCUCGAGUCCGGGAGAGGUGAGUGGAACUGCGAGUGUAGAGGUGAAAUUCGUAGAUAUUCGCAAGAACACCAGUGGCGAAGGCGGCUCACUGGCCCGAUACUGACGCUGAGGUGCGAAAGCGUGGGGAGCAAACAGG
rnacentral:rRNA from 1 species